rnacentral:lncRNA from 1 species
CCAGAGUUUAAAUGCAAAGCUGAAAUCAUCCCUUCGAAAAUUUUAUGGAUGCCACUACGAGUUGGUUGAUAAUUAUGAAAUAUCUGUUUCGCCAGAAGACGAUUGAGAAGUUCCAAUCAACGUAACCAAAAUACCAUCAUCUCUGCCUAGAAUGUCACAUACCUAAUAAGGCUUCGCACCGAGGUAGGAAUUACAUGAGCCACAUGACGGG